GUCCCUGUAGCGCAAUGGGUAUUGUGUGUGUGUGUGUGUGCGUUGGACUUCUAAUCCAAAGGUCGUGGGCUCAAAUUCCACCUGAGAUG